GGGUGAGACCUGAUGCCGAGCCGAUUGUGGUGAAGUGGAUGAUCCUAUGCUGUCGAGAAAAGCCUCUAGCGAGUUUCAUGGCGGCCCGUACCCUAAACCGACUCAGGUGGUCAGGUAGAGAAUACCGAGGCGUUCGGGUGAACUAUGGUUAAGGAACUCGGCAAAAUGCCCCCGUAACUUCGGGAGAAGGGGGGCCAUCACUGGUGAUCCGAUUUACUCGGUGAGCUGGGGGUGGCCGCAGAGACCAGCGAGAAGCGACUGUUUACUAAAAACACAGGUCCGUGCGAAGCCGUAAGGCGAUGUAUACGGACUGACGCCUGCCCGGUGCUGGAACGUUAAGGGGACCGGUUAGUGCACUUUCGGGUGUGCGAAGCUGAGAACUUAAGCGCCAGUAAACGGCGGUGGUAACUAUAACCAUCCUAAGGUAGCGAAAUUCCUUGUCGGGUAAGUUCCGACCUGCACGAAUGGCGUAACGACUUCUCGACUGUCUCAACCAUAGGCCCGGUGAAAUUGCACUACGAGUAAAGAUGCUCGUUUCGCGCAGCAGGACGGAAAGACCCCGGGACCUUUACUAUAGUUUGAUAUUGGUGUUCGGUUCGGCUUGUGUAGGAUAGGUGGGAGACUUUGAAGCGGCCACGCCAGUGGUUGUGGAGUCGUCGUUGAAAUACCACUCUGGUCGUGCUGGAUGUCUAACCUGGGUCCGUGAUCCGGAUCAGGGACAGUGUCUGAUGGGUAGUUUAACUGGGGCGGUUGCCUCCUAAAGAGUAACGGAGGCGCCCAAAGGUUCCCUCAGCCUGGUUGGCAAUCAGGUGUUGAGUGUAAGUGCACAAGGGAGCUUGACUGUGAGACCGACGGGUCGAGCAGGGACGAAAGUCGGGACUAGUGAUCCGGCAGUGGCUUGUGGAAGCGCUGUCGCUCAACGGAUAAAAGGUACCCCGGGGAUAACAGGCUGAUCUUCCCCAAGAGUCCAUAUCGACGGGAUGGUUUGGCACCUCGAUGUCGGCUCGUCGCAUCCUGGGGCUGGAGUCGGUCCCAAGGG
rnacentral:rRNA from 1 species